rnacentral:rRNA from 1 species
UAGAGUUUGAUCCUGGCUCAGGAUGAACGCUAGCGACAGGCUUAACACAUGCAAGUCGAGGGGCAGCACAGUACAGCAAUGUAUGGGUGGCGACCGGCGCACGGGUGAGUAACGCGUAUGCAACCUACCUAUAAGCGGGGGAUAGCCCGGCGAAAGUCGGAUUAAUACCCCAUAAAACAGGGGUUCCGCAUGGAAAUAUUUGUUAAAGGAGUAAUCUGCUUAUAGAUGGGCAUGCGUGCCAUUAGGUAGUUGGUAAGGUAACGGCUUACCAAGCCGACGAUGGUUAGGGGUUCUGAGAGGAAGGUCCCCCACACUGGAACUGAGACACGGUCCAGACUCCCACGGGAGGCAGCAGUGAGGAAUAUUGGUCAAUGGCCGGAAGGCUGAACCAGCCAAGUCGCGUGCAGGAGGAAGGCUCUAUGGGUUGUAAACUGCUUUUGGAGGGGAAAAAAGGGGUGGACGUGUCCACUAUUGCUAGUACCCUGUGAAUAAGGAUCGGCUAACUCCGUGCCAGCAGCCGCGGUAAUACGGAGGAUUCGAGCGUUAUCCGGAUUUAUUGGGUUUAAAGGGUGCGUAGGUUGGCUGUUAAGUCAGCGGUGAAAUUUUGGUCGCUUAACGAUAAAAAUGCCGUUGAAACUGGUGGUCUUGAGUAUGGUAGAGGCAGGCGGAAUGCGUGGUGUAGCGGUGAAAUGCUUAG